rnacentral:misc_RNA from 1 species
UUCCAAAGGGCAUGCCUGUUCGAGCGUCAUUUGUACCCUCAAGCUUUGCUUGGUGUUGGGCGUUUUGUCUUUGGCUUUUGCCCCAAAGACUCGCCUUAAAACGAUUGGCAGCCGGCCUACUGGUUUCGGAGCGCAGCACAUUUUUGCGCUUGCAACCAGCUAAAGAGGCCAGCAAUCCAUCAAGACCUUCUUCUCACUUUUGACCUCGGAUCAG